CAAGAAUUAACAAAAGAGAGAACCAGCAUGAUUGGAUCUACAAGCAUGUGGGCCCAGAAGCCUUGGUCUUUGAGAUGGUCAUGGCAUGGAGGCAGUUCAUUUUGGAACUAGAAGUUUAAUGGGACCCCUGCAAAGGCAAACACACCUUUGAUUGGCUGGUGUUGCUAAAAAGCAGAAGAAAAACAAAAUGAACCUCCCAAAACUAUAAGAAAAUAACCACUGACACCAAUAACUGUCUACAUCCCAUCUGAGAGAGAUUAACAUGCCCACCAUCACAGGACUAGCAUGCAAUAGGAUGAAGAUUUGAAUCUGAGCAGUCUAAUCCAAGAGCACCGAUCGUAAUCACCAUGCAACCAAGGCCUUAGACCAUGUACCUCCUCCCUGUAUUGUGGCCCCUGUUUGAAACCACAGCUCCAGUGUGGCAACCAUUUAGACCACCAAUGGCUGUUGUGCCACUGAGAUGAUCAGUACUUCUAGGCUUGCCACCAACAAUACCCUUUUUCACGUUGUUUUCAGUUUUGUAUCCCACAUUUUGAAAGAUUCUUA
rnacentral:lncRNA from 10 species